rnacentral:rRNA from 1 species
ACGGCUCAGUAACACGUGGCCAAACUACCCUGUAGACAGGAAUACUCUCGGGAAACUGAGGCUAAUACCUGAUACGGUUCUCAUGCUGGAGUGCAGAGAACCUCAAACGCUCAGGCGCUACAGGAUGUGGCUGCGGCCGAUUAGGUAGACGGUGGGGUAACGGCCCACCGUGCCGAUAAUCGGUACGGGUUGUGAGAGCAAGAGCCCGGAGACGGAAUCUGAGACAAGAUUCCGGGCCCUACGGGGCGCAGCAGGCGCGAAACCUUUACACUGCACGCCAGUGCGAUAAGGGGACCCCAAGUGUGAGGGCAUAUAGCCCUCACUUUUGUGUACCGUAGGGAGGUACACGAAUAAGAGCUGGGCAAGACCGGUGCCAGCCGCCGCGGUAAUACCGGCAGCUCGAGUGAUGACCGAUUUUAUUGGGCCUAAAGCGUCCGUAGCUGGCCGCGUAGGUUCGUCGGGAAAUCCACCUGCUCAACAGGUGGGCGUCCGGCGAAAACCACGUGGCUUGGGACCGGAAGGCUCGAGGGGUACGUCCGGGGUAGGAGUGAAAUCCCGUAAUCCUGGACGGACCGCCGAUGGCGAAAGCACCUCGAGAAGACGGAUCCGACAGUGAGGGACGAAAGCUGGGGUCUCGAACCGGAUUAGAUACCCGGGUAGCCCCAGCCGUAAACAAUGCCUGUUAGGUGUGGCACCGACUACGAGUCGGUGCUGUGCCGUAGGGAAGCCGAUAAACAGGCCGCCUGGGAAGUACGUCCGCAAGGAUGAAACUUAAAGGAAUUGGCGGGGGAGCAC